AUUGAACGCUGGCGGCAGGCCUAACACAUGCAAGUCGAGCGGUAGCACAGAGAGCUUGCUCUCGGGUGACGAGUGGCGGACGGGUGAGUAACGUCUGGGAAACUGCCCGAUGGAGGGGGAUAACUACUGGAAACGGUAGCUAAUACCGCAUAACGUCGCAAGACCAAAGUGGGGGACCUGCGGGCCGCACACCAUCGGAUGUGCCCAGAUGGGAUUAGCUAGUAGGUGGGGUAAUAGCUCACCUAGGCGACGAUCCCUAGCUGGUCUGAGAGGAUGACCAGCCACACUGGAACUGAGACACGGUCCAGACUCCUACGGGAGGCAGCAGUGGGGAAUAUUGCACAAUGGGCGCAAGCCUAAUGCAGCCAUGCCGCGUGUAUGAAGAAGGCCUUCGGGUUGUAAAGUACUUUCAGCGGGGAGGAAGGCGGUGAAGUUAAUAGCUUCACCGAUUGACGUUACCCGCAGAAGAAGCACCGGCUAACUCCGUGCCAGCCGCCGCGGUAA
rnacentral:rRNA from 1 species